rnacentral:rRNA from 1 species
UACGUAGGCAGCAAGCGUUGUUCGGAGUUACUGGGCGUAAAGCGCGCGCAGGCGGUCCUUUAAGUCUGAUGUGAAAGCCCACGGCUCAACCGUGGAGGGUCAUUGGAAACUGGGGGACUUGAGUGCAGAAGAGGAAAGUGGAAUUCCAAGUGUAGCGGUGAAAUGCGUAGAGAUUUGGAGGAACACCAGUGGCGAAGGCGACUUUCUGGUCUGUAACUGACGCUGAGGCGCGAAAGCGUGGGGAGCAAACAGG